UUGCUAGCUUGCUAAUAAUUCUCUAGUGGCGCACGGGUGAGUAACACGUGAGUAACCUGCCCCCGAGAGCGGGAUAGCCCUGGGAAACUGGGAUUAAUACCGCAUAGUAUCGAAAGAUUAAAGCAGCAAUGCGCUUGGGGAUGGGCUCGCGGCCUAUUAGUUAGUUGGUGAGGUAACGGCUCACCAAGGCGAUGACGGGUAGCCGGUCUGAGAGGAUGUCCGGCCACACUGGAACUGAGACACGGUCCAGACACCUACGGGUGGCAGCAGUCGAGAAUCAUUCACAAUGGGGGAAACCCUGAUGGUGCGACGCCGCGUGGGGGAAUGAAGGUCUUCGGAUUGUAAACCCCUGUCAUGUGGGAGCAAAUUAAAAAGAUAGUACCACAAGAGGAAGAGACGGCUAACUCUGUGCCAGCAGCCGCGGUAAUACAGAGGUCUCAAGCGUUGUUCGGAAUCACUGGGCGUAAAGCGUGCGUAGGCUGUUUCGUAAGUCGUGUGUGAAAGGCGCGGGCUCAACCCGCGGACGGCACAUGAUACUGCGAGACUAGAGUAAUGGAGGGGGAACCGGAAUUCUCGGUGUAGCAGUGAAAUGCGUAGAUAUCGAGAGGAACACUCGUGGCGAAGGCGGGUUCCUGGACAUUAACUGACGCUGAGGCACGAAGGCCAGGGGAGCGAAAGGGAUUAGAUACCCCUGUAGUCCUGGCAGUAAACGGUGCACGCUUGGUGUGCGGGGAAUCGACCCCCUGCGUGCCGGAGCUAACGCGUUAAGCGUGCCGCCUGGGGAGUACGGUCGCAAGA
rnacentral:rRNA from 1 species